GACGAACGCUGGCGGCGUGCUUAACACAUGCAAGUCGAACGGAAAGGCCCUGCUUUUGUGGGGUGCUCGAGUGGCGAACGGGUGAGUAACACGUGAGUAACCUGCCCUUGACUUUGGGAUAACUUCAGGAAACUGGGGCUAAUACCGGAUAGGAGCUCCUGCUGCAUGGUGGGGGCUGGAAAGUUUCGGCGGUUGGGGAUGGACUCGCGGCUUAUCAGCUUGUUGGUGGGGUAGUGGCUUACCAAGGCUUUGACGGGUAGCCGGCCUGAGAGGGUGACCGGCCACAUUGGGACUGAGAUACGGCCCAGACUCCUACGGGAGACAGCAGUGGGGAAUAUUGCACAAUGGGCGGAAGCCUGAUGCAGCAACGCCGCGUGCGGGAUGACGGCCUUCGGGUUGUAAACCGCUUUCGCCUGUGACGAAGCGUGAGUGACGGUAAUGGGUAAAGAAGCACCGGCUAACUACGUG
rnacentral:rRNA from 1 species